AGAGCCACUGGACUGUGUGUUCUUGGAAGAACGAUCCGGACCUCUCGUCCAACAUCCACUCGAACACCCAGCACCGGCUUUGGGAGGCGCCUGGUGAGACCGCACCGCGCACCGCCCUCCCCGCCCCUCCGCCCGGGUGGCUGCCUCUGGAGGAGGGGGCGCACAGCACGGGGAGACCCGCUGAGGCCGGCUUCUCUGCUCCCGUUUGGUGGCUGAGCGGUGGCCCAGGGGGCUUGGCCGAUGCCAGCGGGAGCCAGUCAGGCUCAGCCAGGGCGAUCCUAGGGGCGCCUUCUCAGCACUCGGGCCCCUCCCCUCCCAGGCCGACGUCCCUCUCCUCUGAGCGGGGUCCCGUGGGCGGCCUGCCAGGCCGUGAAGACCCUGGAGCCUUCCUGUGGCCCCAACCUCAGCCCCUGUGCUCACCACCACCUUUGUGGCAGCCACAGGCCCCUGGUCUCCUCGGGGUGACCUCGCCCAGGGCGCAGGCUGCCUCCCCUGGCAGAAGCCGGUGGCUGGGGGUUGGAAAUACACAGACAUUUUUAAUGGAAGCAAAAUGGGGCAACGGCGUCACGGCCAUCAGGAACUGAGCUCAGAUUACCACUCCCUGAGGGAGGGACCCAGCAUCUCGCUUCCUGGGCGCCAGAACUGAGCCGGGGCAACAGGCAGCUUAACCCACCCGCUGGAGAGCCUGACGCUUCGAGGUCGGAGGUCAUGACAGGACCUGUCUGUCUCCAGGGCUGUCCUGAGGCUCACGGGGGCUCGUGCCUAGAAAGCAGCACAUCCGUGGGCGAUGACUCUGCUGAUUCUGGGACCACAGUUCCAUGUGCAGAGACGACAGGUCACCCCAGCGGGAGUGUCCCCAGCCUCCUCGCUCUGUGCGAGAGUCCCCAGCUCAUCCGGGGAAUUACCGACCACCUAAGAGCUGGAGGUGCCCAGAGCUGGGCCUUAGACACACUUUGGAAGCAGCUCCUGCAGGGGGCACUCUGAGCCCCCACCGGACCCCACCCUGCGAUCACUCCCAGCAGAAGGAGCCUGACUCUGUUCCUGGUCGGCCCUGAAGUCAUCAACACAGACCAACAUCCUAAGACACAAGCCGACCAGCUGAGGAGCCCGUGUGUGUGUGUGUGUGUGUGUGUGUGUGUGUGUGUGUGUGUCGCCGUGGGUCACAUGUAGCCGCUGAGCAGUGACGCAGGGCUAGUGACGUCCUCCAAGCAUAGAUUAUGCACCAGAUUUCAGCCCUUUAGUAUCAAAAAAAAUACAAAGAAGCUCAGGAACAACUAACUCCUUUAUGGUUAUUACAUUUUGAAAGGAUAGUCCUUAGCGCAUGUUGCGUUAAAUAAAAUAUACUAUUAAUCUCA